rnacentral:rRNA from 1 species
CCCGCACAAGCGGUGGAGCAUGUGGUUCAAUUCGAUGCAACGCGAAGAACCUUACCUGGGCUUGAACCGCACCUGUAAACCUGUGGAAACACGGGUCCCUCCUUCGGGAGCAGGUGUAGAGGUGCUGCAUGGCUGUCGUCAGCUCGUGUCGUGAGAUGUUGGGUUAAGUCCCGCAACGAGCGCAACCCUUAUCCCCUAGUUGCCAUCAGGUAAAGCUGGGGAACUCUGGGGAGACUGCCGGUGAUAAACCGGAGGAAGGCGGGGAUGACGUCAAGUCCUCAUGGCCCUUACAUCCCGGGCUACACACGUGCUACAAUGGCAGGUACAGAGGGCUGCGAAGCCGCGAGGUGGAGCGAAUCCCAGAAAACCUGUCUCAGUCCGGAUUGAAGUCUGCAACUCGACUUCAUGAAGGCGGAAUCGCUAGUAACCGCGAAUCAGCAGGUCGCGGUGAGUACGUUCCCGGGCCUU